CCAUGUACUUGUUUCUGAUGAAAAUAGUAAAUCAAAUAUUCACCAAGCUCUUGGUCUGAUAUCAAUACCUUGAAUAAUAAGAUGACCACCAUGCCAACAAUUACACCACAGUCCUGGAUUCCAUGGCACAGAUAUAAUUUUCACAUCCUGAUCUUGUUUCCCCUCGACGAAGAACUCUCCCAUCUCAACUUCCAUCCAUCCAUCAUCCCUGAACUUAGGAUAUCUGUGCAACUCUGAGGGCUCUAUGAUGUCUAGCCGUCAAAAUACAUGAGAGAUUAAAUGCAAGAAAGUUUUGGGUCUAGGAACAGUCUGGCACCUUUGCCUCUGUUCUUCAUCUGGACAAUAGACAGUUUUACCAUCAGCUUCUUGUCCAAUUUGUAAAUAGUUAGUUUGUUCAUCAGCGUUUUGUCCACUAAUUUCUAUCAAAGCCUGAACAAGCUGGUGCCCAUAUCCAUUAAUUCCUUAUCUCAAAGUGAACACGAGGUAAGCUGCAUAUUUAGUUCCUGAAGAAAGCAUGGAGGUAUUUAUCUUGCCACAAAUUGUAAACAAGUACCCAACAAGACGCACUGCGACCUCUGGAAAUCUGAAUCAGACACUCAACAAAAUAUCAAGCGAGAUAAUUAAUAGGGAAAAAAAGAGAUACUUGUUAUUCUUAUGAAGGAUAAAUAUAGAACCUGGAGUUGGGAAAAGAGAUACAUUGCCAACGGGGUGGACAAUCCCAUAUAAUGAGGUUCCUUGAAGCCAGCAUAAAGCACUU
rnacentral:lncRNA from 1 species